GCAGUCGAGGGGUAAUCACACCUUUCGGGGUGAACGACCGGCGCACGGGCUGCGUAACGCGUAUGCAACCUACCCACAACUGGGGGAUAGCCCGGCAGAAAUCCGGAUUAAUACCCCAUAAUGCAGGGGUACUGCAUGGUACUAUUUGCUAAAGAUUUAUCGGUUGUGGAUGGGCAUGCGUCUGAUUAGUUAGUUGGUGAGGUAACGGCUCACCAAGGCGACGAUCAGUAGGGGGUCUGAGAGGAUGAUCCCCCACACUGGUACUGAGAUACGGACCAGACUCCUACGGGAGGCAGCAGUAGGGAAUAUUGGUCAAUGGGCGGAAGCCUGAACCAGCCAUGCCGCGUGCAGGAUGACGGCCUUCUGGGUUGUAAACUGCUUUUAUCAGGGAAGAAAACGGUCAUGCGUGACAGAUUGACGGUACCUGAAGAAUAAGCACCGGCUAACUCCGUGCCAGCAGCCGCGGUAAUACGGAGGGUGCAAGCGUUGUCCGGAUUUAUUGGGUUUAAAGGGUGCGUAGGCGGAUUAUUAAGUCAGUGGUGAAAGUUUGCGGCUCAACCGUAAAAGUGCCAUUGAUACUGGUAGUCUUGAGUACAGUAGAGGUAGGCGGAAUUUAUGGUGUAGCGGUGAAAUGCAUAGAUACCAUAAAGAACACCGAUAGCGAAGGCAGCUUACUAUACUGAGACUGACGCUGAGGCACGAAAGCGUGGGGAGCGAACAGGAUUAGAUACCCUGGUAGUCCACGCUGUAAACGAUGAAGACUCGCUUGUUGGCGAUACACAAGCCAGUGGCCAAGCGAAAGCGUU
rnacentral:rRNA from 1 species